UACGUAGGGGGCUAGCGUUGUCCGGAUUUAUUGGGCGUAAAGAGCGUGUAGGCGGCCAGGUAGGUCCGUUGUGAAAACUCGAGGCUCAACCUCGAGACGUCGGCGGAAACCAUCUGGCUAGAGUCCGGAAGAGGAGAGUGGAAUUCCUGGUGUAGCGGUGAAAUGCGCAGAUAUCAGGAAGAACACCCGUGGCGAAGGCGGCUCGCUGGGACGUUACUGACACUGAGGCGCGAAAGCGUGGGGAGCGAACAGG
rnacentral:rRNA from 1 species